rnacentral:rRNA from 1 species
GAUGAACGCUGGCGGCGUGCCUAAUACAUGCAAGUCGGGCGAACGGACGAGAAGCUUGCUUUUCUGAUGUUAGCGGCGGACGGGUGAGUAACACGUGGAUAACCUACCUAUAAGACUGGGAUAACUUCGGGAAACCGGAGCUAAUACCGGAUAAUAUUUUGAACCGCAUGGUUCAAAAGUGAAAGACGGUCUUGCUGUCACUUAUAGAUGGAUCCGCGCUGCAUUAGCUAGUUGGUAAGGUAACGGCUUACCAAGGCAACGAUGCAUAGCCGACCUGAGAGGGUGAUCGGCCACACUGGAACUGAGACACGGUCCAGACUCCUACGGGAGGCAGCAGUAGGGAAGCUUCCGCAAUGGGCGAAAGCCUGACGGAGCAACGCCGCGUGAGUGAUGAAGGUCUUCGGAUCGUAAAACUCUGUUAUUAGGGAAGAACACAUGUGUAAGUAACUGUGCACAUCUUGACGGUACCUAAUCAGAAAGCCACGGCUAACUACGUG